UACGUAGGGUGCAAGCGUUAAUCGGAAUUACUGAACGUAAAGCGUGCGCAGACGGCUUUGCAAGACAGAUGUGAAAUCCCCGGGCUCAACCUGGGAACUACAUUUAUGACUGCAUGGCUAGAGUACGGUAGAAGGGGAUGGAAUUCCGCGUGUAGCAGUGAAAUGCGUAGAUAUGCGGAGGAACACCGAUGACGAAGGCAAUCCCCUGGACCUAUACUGACGCUCAUGCACGAAAGCGUGGGGAGCAAACAAG
rnacentral:rRNA from 1 species